AAAAAAAAAGACAAUUGGUGAAGAUUAUGUAAUCAUUACUUAUUGCAAAUACAACUUUCUGACCUGCCUUUCUAUUCAUUUUUUCGAAUACACAAUGGAAAUACUUCCAUAGGGGUAAAAACAACUUAUUGAAGGAUGUUUCCACUCUCUGCAAAUGUUGACUAGGUUAACUAAAUUUAAUAUAAAUAGAACUUACAUUUUCCUACUUAAAUGGUAGAAUUUUUAAACUAAUAUACCAUCAUAAUGUUGUUUUCCAGGCUGCCAGAAAUUGUCUAGUAAGUGAGGCGGGAGUUGUAAAAGUAUCUGAUUUUGGAAUGGCCAGGUAUGUUCUGGAUGAUCAGUACACAAGUUCUUCUGGUGCUAAGUUUCCCGUGAAGUGGUGUCCACCAGAAGUGUUUAAUUACAGCCGCUUCAGCAGCAAAUCAGAUG
rnacentral:sRNA from 1 species